UGGUGGCGACCGGCGCACGGGUGCGUAACGCGUAUGCAACCUACCUUUAACAGGGGGAUAACACUGAGAAAUUGGUACUAAUACCCCAUAAUAUCAUAGAAGGCAUCUUUUAUGGUUGAAAAUUCCGAUGGUUAGAGAUGGGCAUGCGUUGUAUUAGCUAGUUGGUGGGGUAACGGCUCACCAAGGCGACGAUACAUAGGGGGACUGAGAGGUUAACCCCCCACACUGGUACUGAGACACGGACCAGACUCCUACGGGAGGCAGCAGUGAGGAAUAUUGGUCAAUGGACGCAAGUCUGAACCAGCCAUGCCGCGUGCAGGAUGACGGCUCUAUGAGUUGUAAACUGCUUUUGUACGAGGGUAAACGCAGAUACGUGUAUCUGUCUGAAAGUAUCGUACGAAUAAGGAUCGGCUAACUCCGUGCCAGCAGCCGCGGUAAUACGGAGGAUUCAAGCGUUAUCCGGAUUUAUUGGGUUUAAAGGGUGCGUAGGCGGUUUGAUAAGUUAGAGGUGAAAUUUCGGGGCUCAACCCUGAACGUGCCUCUAAUACUGUUGAGCUAGAGAGUAGUUGCGGUAGGCGGAAUGUAUGGUGUAGCGGUGAAAUGCUUAGAGAUCAUACAGA
rnacentral:rRNA from 1 species